AGCGAACGCUGGCGGCAGGCCUAACACAUGCAAGUCGAACGAACUCUUCGGAGUUAGUGGCGGACGGGUGAGUAACACGUGGGAACGUGCCUUUAGGUUCGGAAUAACUCAGGGAAACUUGUGCUAAUACCGAAUGUGCCCUUCGGGGGAAAGAUUUAUCGCCUUUAGAGCGGCCCGCGUCUGAUUAGCUAGUUGGUGAGGUAAAGGCUCACCAAGGCGACGAUCAGUAGCUGGUCUGAGGGGAUGAUCAGCCACAUUGGGACUGAGACACGGCCCAAACUCCUACGGGAGGCAGCAGUGGGGAAUCUUGCGCAAUGGGCGAAAGCAUGACGCAGCCAUGCCGCGUGAAUGAUGAAGGUCUUAGGAUUGUAAAAUUCUUUCACCGGGGACGAUAAUGACGGUACCCGGAGAAGAAGCCCCGGCUAACUUCGUG
rnacentral:rRNA from 1 species